rnacentral:rRNA from 1 species
GGGUUGUGAGGUUAAGCGACUAAGCGUACACGGUGGAUGCCCUGGCAGUCAGAGGCGAUGAAGGACGUGCUAAUCUGCGAUAAGCGUCGGUGAGGUGAUAUGAACCGUUAUAACCGGCGAUUUCCGAAUGGGGAAACCCAGUGUGAUUCGUCACACUAUCAUUAACUGAAUCCAUAGGUUAAUGAGGCGAACCGGGGGAACUGAAACAUCUAAGUACCCCGAGGAAAAGAAAUCAACCGAGAUUCCCCCAGUAGCGGCGAGCGAACGGGGAGCAGCCCAGAGCCUGAAUCAGUGUGUGUGUUAGUGGAAGCGUCUGGAAAGGCGCGCGAUACAGGGUGACAGCCCCGUACACAAAAAUGCACAUGCUGUGAGCUCGAUGAGUAGGGCGGGACACGUGGUAUCCUGUCUGAAUAUGGGGGGACCAUCCUCCAAGGCUAAAUACUCCUGACUGACCGAUAGUGAACCAGUACCGUGAGGGAAAGGCGAAAAGAACCCCGGCGAGGGGAGUGAAAAAGAACCUGAAACCGUGUACGUACAAGCAGUGGGAGCACAGAGCAAUCUGUGUUACUGCGUACCUUUUGUAUAAUGGGUCAGCGACUUAUAUUCUGUAGCAAGGUUAACCGAAUAGGGGAGCCGAAGGGAAACCGAGUCUUAACUGGGCGUUAAGUUGCAGGGUAUAGACCCGAAACCCGGUGAUCUAGCCAUGGGCAGGUUGAAGGUUGGGUAACACUAACUGGAGGACCGAACCGACUAAUGUUGAAAAAUUAGCGGAUGACUUGUGGCUGGGGGUGAAAGGCCAAUCAAACCGGGAGAUAGCUGGUUCUCCCCGAAAGCUAUUUAGGUAGCGCCUCGUGAAUUCAUCUCCGGGGGUAGAGCACUGUUUCGGCAAGGGGGUCAUCCCGACUUACCAACCCGAUGCAAACUGCGAAUACCGGAGAAUGUUAUCACGGGAGACACACGGCGGGUGCUAACGUCCGUCGUGAAGAGGGAAACAACCCAGACCGCCAGCUAAGGUCCCAAAGUCAUGGUUAAGUGGGAAACGAUGUGGGAAGGCCCAGACAGCCAGGAUGUUGGCUUAGAAGCAGCCAUCAUUUAAAGAAAGCGUAAUAGCUCACUGGUCGAGUCGGCCUGCGCGGAAGAUGUAACGGGGCUAAACCAUGCACCGAAGCUGCGGCAGCGACGCUUAUGCGUUGUUGGGUAGGGGAGCGUUCUGUAAGCCUGUGAAGGUGUGCUGUGAGGCAUGCUGGAGGUAUCAGAAGUGCGAAUGCUGACAUAAGUAACGAUAAAGCGGGUGAAAAGCCCGCUCGCCGGAAGACCAAGGGUUCCUGUCCAACGUUAAUCGGGGCAGGGUGAGUCGACCCCUAAGGCGAGGCCGAAAGGCGUAGUCGAUGGGAAACAGGUUAAUAUUCCUGUACUUGGUGUUACUGCGAAGGGGGGACGGAGAAGGCUAUGUUGGCCGGGCGACGGUUGUCCCGGUUUAAGCGUGUAGGCUGGUUUUCCAGGCAAAUCCGGAAAAUCAAGGCUGAGGCGUGAUGACGAGGCACUACGGUGCUGAAGCAACAAAUGCCCUGCUUCCAGGAAAAGCCUCUAAGCAUCAGGUAACAUCAAAUCGUACCCCAAACCGACACAGGUGGUCAGGUAGAGAAUACCAAGGCGCUUGAGAGAACUCGGGUGAAGGAACUAGGCAAAAUGGUGCCGUAACUUCGGGAGAAGGCACGCUGAUAUGUAGGUGAGGUCCCUCGCGGAUGGAGCUGAAAUCAGUCGAAGAUACCAGCUGGCUGCAACUGUUUAUUAAAAACACAGCACUGUGCAAACACGAAAGUGGACGUAUACGGUGUGACGCCUGCCCGGUGCCGGAAGGUUAAUUGAUGGGGUUAGCGGUAACGCGAAGCUCUUGAUCGAAGCCCCGGUAAACGGCGGCCGUAACUAUAACGGUCCUAAGGUAGCGAAAUUCCUUGUCGGGUAAGUUCCGACCUGCACGAAUGGCGUAAUGAUGGCCAGGCUGUCUCCACCCGAGACUCAGUGAAAUUGAACUCGCUGUGAAGAUGCAGUGUACCCGCGGCAAGACGGAAAGACCCCGUGAACCUUUACUAUAGCUUGACACUGAACAUUGAGCCUUGAUGUGUAGGAUAGGUGGGAGGCUUUGAAGUGUGGACGCCAGUCUGCAUGGAGCCGGCCUUGAAAUACCACCCUUUAAUGUUUGAUGUUCUAACGUUGGCCCCUGAUCGGGGUUGCGGACAGUGUCUGGUGGGUAGUUUGACUGGGGCGGUCUCCUCCUAAAGAGUAACGGAGGAGCACGAAGGUUGGCUAAUCCUGGUCGGACAUCAGGAGGUUAGUGCAAUGGCAUAAGCCAGCUUGACUGCGAGCGUGACGGCGCGAGCAGGUGCGAAAGCAGGUCAUAGUGAUCCGGUGGUUCUGAAUGGAAGGGCCAUCGCUCAACGGAUAAAAGGUACUCCGGGGAUAACAGGCUGAUACCGCCCAAGAGUUCAUAUCGACGGCGGUGUUUGGCACCUCGAUGUCGGCUCAUCACAUCCUGGGGCUGAAGUAGGUCCCAAGGGUAUGGCUGUUCGCCAUUUAAAGUGGUACGCGAGCUGGGUUUAGAACGUCGUGAGACAGUUCGGUCCCUAUCUGCCGUGGGCGCUGGAGAACUGAGGGGGGCUGCUCCUAGUACGAGAGGACCGGAGUGGACGCAUCACUGGUGUUCGGGUUGUCAUGCCAAUGGCACUGCCCGGUAGCUAAAUGCGGAAGAGAUAAGUGCUGAAAGCAUCUAAGCACGAAACUUGCCCCGAGAUGAGUUCUCCCUGACUCCUUGAGAGUCCUGAAGGAACGUUGAAGACGACGACGUUGAUAGGCCGGGUGUGUAAGCGCAGCGAUGCGUUGAGCUAACCGGUACUAAUGAACCGUGAGGCUUAACCUUACAACGCCGAAGCUGUU